CAGAUGCGGUGGUGCAAAGGAAAGGAGAUCGAGAAAGAAGCUGAGAAACAGUACCGGCCUUCUUCCUGGACAAAUCAGGGUUUUGUAUGUGUGUAUAAUCAGCGUUUUUUGUUUUAUUCCGGCCGCUCAGCUCAUUGAUCCCAGGGGCGCUAACCGCCGAGCCACAUCCCCAGCCCUCCUUAUUUAUAAGGCCUCUGGAUCCCUCAGCUGUGCCCCCGGGCCCCGCUGAUCAGUGUUUCUCUACAUCCACCUGCUUUAUGUCUUACGCUAGGCACAGCAAAAACGAGUAGGAGAAGAUUUCAAUGGGUGAAGAGAGGAAGAGUUAUUGAUUAAAAUGACACCGCAGUUUUCUGUUUUCUCCUUGCAUGCACGUGGGCACGUGGAGGAGGUUAUACCUUCUACAGCAGAGCCGAAGGAAAGUACUAAAGCCCAGUCCACCUAUCUCAGUACUUCCAGAAUUCAAGUCUUAGCUCCACCACAUUAUGUAGUUUUACCGUUUCCAGAGGCAAUGCUGCCAGUGAUUUCUUGGUAAGUUUUUCCAUAAAAAUAUCUUCAUUCACCCAUGGCUCCUUGUUUGUGCCGCAUUAUGUCUCCAUAUAUUUCUGUUUCUCACUCUGCCAGUGUAGUAUGCCCUGAGGUUAAACUUCAGGUAGACUGUGAAUGGUGUCAUUGUAAGGGGUCCUUGGAACAAACUUUGUCACCUUGCACUCAGGACUUUUAUUUGAAUAAACAAACCAAAAAUAAGUCCUCACUUUAUUUAGGUCAUAAAAUAGACCCCUAAAGUAAUUAAAUCUCCCAGGACUUAGCUGUUAUCUUGGCUGAUUGCUGAGAGCCACAGCCGAGUCUGUAUGGCCCCUGGCAUUUUGCCAACAGUAUUGAUUGACAGGCGAGGCAUUACUAUCGGCCUCUGCCGCAACUUUUGAGUUCUCGCACUAUUUUGGAGUUCUCCUGGGGAUUUCCGGGGAUUCCCCGAGAGUUCCCAUUGGUUGGGGAAGUGCAGGAGGAGGGAUUUCCGGGAGAGAUAUUUCCGCUGGGGGUUCCUGGACAAGCCUCUUGGAGUUGGGGAGGAUUCCCCGGGAGCUGUGUGUAGUGUUUUCCUGCAGUUUAAAAAUAAAGUUUGUUCCUGCUUCAGUGGCUCUGAUUUGUGCCCAGCCAGACUGUGGCAGCUGAUGGAAGUUUAUAUCACAACCAUUUUAAUUUAAGCUGUGUGGAAGGGAUGGCUGGGUUGUUUGUGUUCUGUCCAGCACUCAGUGUUCAGUGUUCUCAGUAAUAACCACCUCCCCCCACUCAGUGUCCAGUGUUCUCAGUAAUAACCACCUCCUCCUCUCGUUAUUGCCAUAUGCUCAUGCCUCUUACACAGGGGAGGCCAAGGGGCUGAAUUUGACCCAAUGGUUUGAGGGUGGCAGUUGUGCUUCUUUGAGAGAUCCUUAAAAGAGGAGGUUGAAACAGCUAGGAGACUCUUACAUCCCUCCUCCUUCCUCCUGUCUGGAAUGUGGACUUUGGAGCUGGAAGUACAGCAGCCACAUGUGGAGGCACUAGAGAAUAAUAACAGGACACUAGGGUGUGAAUGACACCUCUGUCAUUUCCAGAUCAGCUCUGGACAGCUACCUCUGAAUUCAUUUAUGUGAGAGGAAGGUAAACUGUUGUUAAAGCCAGUGGUAUUCAGGUCUCUGUUAUCACUAGCAAAGUGCAAUUCUUCCUUCUAAACCCAGUUCAUCAUGAAACUUUUCAAACAGCAAAGCUGAGCAUACUGUUUCAUCUCCAGCUCCCAUGCUCACCGGGACUGCACCACUGGUGUUUACUCACCUACUCCACAUCUCCACGUGAAUCUCUAAGGGAUCCCUCAACCUUGACACAGCCAUAACUGAAUGCUUAUUCUCUCUUGCUCCUUGUCUCUCCAUCUUUCCAAUUCAGAAAUGGAUAACCUCAUCCUUCUGGUUUCUCAAGACUACAACCUGGAGUCACCUGGCUCCACUCUAUUCACACCCAAGGCCACGUCCACCAGCAAAGCCUUCAACUCUGCCUUUAAAUUAUUAACCUAGCACCAGAAACUCUCACCUGUCCCACAGCUCCGCCCCUCGCUGAUCAUCACCUCACUGUGGGGUUCCCGCUGGUCUUCAGGUUUCUGCCUGCCCUCCUCUAAGAUAGCCCAGGCCCAGCCAAGCAUCUGAAACAAUUUCUGAGUCAGCAGUCAGAGCCCGACCCUUCUCUGCUGGACACUCCAGUGACUGCCCUCCAGAGGCCACCAAGGUCUGUGCAUGUGAUCUGCCCCCAAGACUCUGACAGGCCACCUCCUUGCUCCGGGGCACUUCCUGUCUGCAGCCUCAGCAGGCUCUUUGUACCUCUGCACCACCUGGGAGCCCCUGCCUCUGGGCUUUGUUGCUGCUGGUCUCUAUGUGGGGUGAUUUUUACCCCCAGAAAUUGUUAUGGUUUGCUCCCCUACUUCACCAUCCUGUUUUAAAUUCCAACUUUGAUGUCCCUUACCCUGGUUUAUUUAUCUCUCAAGUGCUGGUCAUCACCAUAUACCUUGCCACUGUAAUGCCAGAUUCGUGGGACCCCAAUAGACCUCCAGGAGCCGAAUCUGAUGCAAUCACAAAAGAGUCUUCAUUGCAAGCUCCAGCCUGGACUCACAACCGUUCCUUUCCCGAUGCAGCGGUCCCAGGGAGUGAGUCCUGGUCCUUUGUUAAGUGAGAUUUUAUAGAUUUUUGGGGAUACUCUAUGUGUCACAACAUCAUACAGCAAAUCAUUCCACACCACGGGAAAGUCAAACAACAACUCUUAACAUUGA
rnacentral:lncRNA from 1 species